rnacentral:rRNA from 1 species
UAUCUGGUUGAUCCUGCCAGUAGUCAUACGCUUGUCUCAAAGAUUAAGCCAUGCAUGUCUAAGUAUAAGCAACUAUACAGUGAAACUGCGAAUGGCUCAUUAUAUCAGUUAUAGUUUAUUUGAUAGUACUUUACUACUUGGAUAACCGUAGUAAUUCUAGAGCUAAUACAUGCUUCGAAGCCCCAACUUCUGGACGGGGUGUAUUUAUUAGAUAGAAACCAAUGCAGGGCAACCUGGUAUUGUGGUGAGUCAUAAUAACUUUGCGAAUCGCAUGGCCUCGCGCCGGCGAUGAAUCAUUCAAGUUUCUGCCCUAUCAGCUGUCGAUGGUAGGGUAUUGGCCUACCAUGGCGUUAACGGGUAACGGAGAAUUAGGGUUCGAUUCCGGAGAGGGAGCCUGAGAAACGGCUACCACAUUCAAGGAAGGCAGCAGGCGCGUAAAUUACCCCAUCCUGCACAGGGAGGUAGUGACAAUAAAUAACAAGUCCGGGCGCUUUCGCGUCUGGACAUUUGGAAUGAGUUAAUUUUAAAUCCAAAACGAGGAUCAAUUGGAGGGCAAGUCUUGGUGCCAGCAGCCGCGGUAAUUCAGCUUCCAUACGUAUAUUAAAGUUGUGCAGUUAAAAACUCGUAAGUGGAUUUCUGGCCGGGCGACCGGUCGGGGCCCUACGGCGUGUGCACUG